rnacentral:tRNA from 3 species
CGGGCUGUGGCGCAGCUUGGUAGCGCGUCUGCUUUGGGAGCAGAAUGUCGCAGGUUCAAAUCCUGUCAGCCCGACCA